UCCGGCUUAUCACCGGCAGUUUCUCCAGAGUGCCCACCAUUACGUGCUGGCAACAGGAGACGAGGGUUGCGCUCGUUGCGGGACUUAACCCAACAUCUCACGACACGAGCUGACGACAGCCAUGCAGCACCUGUGCACCUCCCACCCGAAGUGAAGGAUCGCCUUUCAGCAAUCCAUAGAGGGCAUGUCAAAGCCUGGUAAGGUUCUUCGCGUUGCCUCGAAUUAAACCACAUGUUCCACCGCUUGUGCGGGUCCCCGUCAAUUCCUUUGAGUUUUAAUCUUGCGACCGUACUCCCCAGGCGGGAUGCUUAACGCGUUAGCUACGCUACUCAAGGGUAACCCCCGAACAGCUAGCAUCCAUCGUUUACAGUGUGGACUAC
rnacentral:misc_RNA from 1 species